rnacentral:rRNA from 1 species
GAUGAACGCUGGCGGCGUGCCUAAUACAUGCAAGUCGAGCGAACAGACGCGGAGCUUGUUCCUCUGACGUUAGCGGCGGGCGGGUGUGUCACACGUGUAUACCCUCCCUGUCAGUCUGGGAUCUCUUCGGGACACCGGAGCAUAUCCCGUAUGAUCUAUUGCAGCGCGUUGUUCGAUAGUGAGAGACGGCUUUUCUGUCUCUACUCGCGGGGUCCUCGCUUGUUUGUCGGGUAGUGGCUUACCCAGGCUUCCAUGGGUAGCCGACCUGACAGAGUGAUAGGCCACACUGGAACUGAGCCACGGUCCAGACUCCUACGGGAGGCAGCAGUAGGGAAUCGUCCGCAAUGGGCGAAAGCAUGACGGAGCAACGCCGCGUGAGUGAUGAAGGUGUUCGGAUCGUAAAACUCUGUUAUUAGUGAAGAACCAAUGUGUAAGUAACUAUGCACGUAUUGACGGUAACUAAUCAGAAAGCACCGGCUAACUACGUG